AGUGAACGCUGGCGGCAGGCCUAACACAUGCAAGUCGAGCGGGCAUCUUCGGAUGUCAGCGGCAGACGGGUGGGUAACACGUGGGAAGGUACCCUUCGGUUCGGAACCACUCUGGGAAACUGGAGCUCAUACCGGAUACGCCCUUACGGGGGCAGGUUUACUGCCGAAGGAUCGGCCCGCGUCUGAUUAUUUAGUUGGUGGGGUAACGGCCUACCAAGGCGACGAUCAGUAGAUGGUCAGAGAGGCUGAGCAGACACUCCGGGGCUGAGACACGGCCGAGAAUCUUGCGCGAGGGGGGAGUGGGUAAUAUAGGAAAAUGGGGUGAAGCAUGAAGGACCCAGGACUCGAAAGCGAUGUAGUCCGGAGAGAAGUAAAGCUCUUUUAUCCGUGACGGUAAUGACGGUACCGAAAGAAUAAGCCCCGGCUAACUUCGUG
rnacentral:rRNA from 1 species